rnacentral:rRNA from 1 species
UGAACCUGCGGAGGGAUCAUUACCGAGUUUACAACUCCCAAACCCAAUGUGAACGUUACCAAACUGUUGCCUCGGCGGGAUCUCUGCCCCGGGUGCGUCGCAGCCCCGGACCAAGGCGCCCGCCGGAGGACCAACCAAAACUCUUAUUGUAUACCCCCUCGCGGGUUUUUUACUAUCUGAGCCAUCUCGGCGCCCCUCGUGGGCGUUUCGAAAAUGAAUCAAAACUUUCAACAACGGAUCUCUUGGUUCUGGCAUCGAUGAAGAACGCAGCGAAAUGCGAUAAGUAAUGUGAAUUGCAGAAUUCAGUGAAUCAUCGAAUCUUUGAACGCACAUUGCGCCCGCCAGUAUUCUGGCGGGCAUGCCUGUCCGAGCGUCAUUUCAACCCUCGAACCCCUCCGGGGGGUCGGCGUUGGGGAUCGGCCCUUUACGGGGCCGGCCCCGAAAUACAGUGGCGGUCUCGCCGCAGCCUCUCCUGCGCAGUAGUUUGCACACUCGCAUCGGGAGCGCGGCGCGUCCACAGCCGUUAAACACCCCAAACUUCUGAAAUGUUGACCUCGGAUCAGGUAGGAAUACCCGCUGAACUUAAGCAUAUCAAUAAG